GAUGAACGCUGACAGAAUGCUUAACACAUGCAAGUCAACUUGAAUUUGGGUUUUUAACUUAGGUUUGGGUGGCGGACGGGUGAGUAACGCGUAAAGAACUUGCCUCACAGCUAGGGACAACAUUUAGAAAUGAAUGCUAAUACCUAAUAUUAUGAUAAUAGGGCAUCCUAUAAUUAUGAAAGCUAUAUGCGCUGUGAGAGAGCCUUGCGUCCCAUUAGCUAGUUGGAGAGGUAACGGCUCACCAAGGCGAUGAUGGGUAGCCGGCCUGAGAGGGUGAUCGGCCACAAGGGGACUGAGACACGGCCCUUACUCCUACGGGAGGCAGCAGUGGGGAAUAUUGGACAAUGGACCGAGAGUCUGAUCCAGCAAUUCUGUGUGCACGAUGAAGUUUUUCGGAAUGUAAAGUGCUUUCAGUUGGGAAGAAAGAAAUGACGGUACCAACAGAAGAAGUGACGGCUAAAUACGUGCCAGCAGCCGCGGUAAUACGUAUGUCACGAGCGUUAUCCGGAUUUAUUGGGCGUAAAGCGCGUCUAGGUGGUUAUAUAAGUCUGAUGUGAAAAUGCAGGGCUCAACUCUGUAUUGCGUUGGAAACUGUAUAACUAGAGUACUGGAGAGGUAAGCGGAACUACAAGUGUAGAGGUGAAAUUCGUAGAUAUUUGUAGGAAUGCCGAUGGGGAAGCCAGCUUACUGGACAGAUACUGACGCUGAAGCGCGAAAGCGUGGGUAGCAAACAGG
rnacentral:rRNA from 1 species